rnacentral:rRNA from 1 species
UGGGGAAUAUUGCGCAAUGGGCGAAAGCCUGACGCAGCGACGCCGCGUGAGGGAUGAAGGUUUUCGGAUCGUAAACCUCUGUCAGAAGGGAAGAAACCGCACUGUGCUAAUCAGCAGUGCCUUGACGGUACCUUCAAAGGAAGCACCGGCUAACUCCGUGCCAGCAGCCGCGGUAAUACGGAGGGUGCAAGCGUUAAUCGGAAUUACUGGGCGUAAAGCGAACGUAGGCUGCUUUGUAAGUCAGGGGUGAAAUCCCACGGCUCAACCGUGGAACUGCCUUUGAUACUGCUUAGCUUGAAUCCGGGAGAGGGUGGCGGAAUUCCAGGUGUAGGAGUGAAAUCCGUAGAUAUCUGGAGGAACAUCAGUGGCGAAGGCGGCCACCUGGACCGGUAUUGACGCUGAGGUGCGAAAGCGUGGGGAGCAAACAGG